CGAGCGGUAGCACAGAGAGCUUGCUCUCGGGUGACGAGCGGCGGACGGGUGAGUAAUGUCUGGGAAACUGCCUGAUGGAGGGGGAUAACUACUGGAAACGGUAGCUAAUACCGCAUAACGUCGCAAGACCAAAGUGGGGGACCUUCGGGCCUCAUGCCAUCAGAUGUGCCCAGAUGGGAUUAGCUGGUAGGUGGGGUAACGGCUCACCUAGGCGACGAUCCCUAGCUGGUCUGAGAGGAUGACCAGCCACACUGGAACUGAGACACGGUCCAGACUCCUACGGGAGGCAGCAGUGGGGAAUAUUGCACAAUGGGCGCAAGCCUGAUGCAGCCAUGCCGCGUGUGUGAAGAAGGCCUUCGGGUUGUAAAGCACUUUCAGCGGGGAGGAAGGCGGUGAGGUUAAUAACCUCAUCGAUUGACGUUACCCGCAGAAGAAGCACCGGCUAACUCCGUGCCAGCAGCCGCGGUAAUACGGAGGGUGCAAGCGUUAAUCGGAAUUACUGGGCGUAAAGCGCACGCAGGCGGUCUGUCAAGUCGGAUGUGAAAUCCCCGGGCUCAACCUGGGAACUGCAUUCGAAACUGGCAGGCUAGAGUCUUGUAGAGGGGGGUAGAAUUCCAGGUGUAGCGGUGAAAUGCGUAGAGAUCUGGAGGAAUACCGGUGGCGAAGGCGGCCCCCUGGACAAAGACUGACGCUCAGGUGCGAAAGCGUGGGGAGCAAACAGGAUUAGAUACCCUGGUAGUCCACGCUGUAAACGAUGUCGAUUUGGAGGUUGUGCCCUUGAGGCGUGGCUUCCGGAGCUAACGCGUUAAAUCGACCGCCUGGGGAGUACGGCCGCAAGGUUAAAACUCAAAUGAAUUGACGGGGGCCCGCACAAGCGGUGGAGCAUGUGGUUUAAUUCGAUGCAACGCGAAGAACCUUACCUGGUCUUGACAUCCACAGAACUUUCCAGAGAUGGAUUGGUGCCUUCGGGAACUGUGAGACAGGUGCUGCAUGGCUGUCGUCAGCUCGUGUUGUGAAAUGUUGGGUUAAGUCCCGCAACGAGCGCAACCCUUAUCCUUUGUUGCCAGCGGUUAGGCCGGGAACUCAAAGGAGACUGCCAGUGAUAAACUGGAGGAAGGUGGGGAUGACGUCAAGUCAUCAUGGCCCUUACGACCAGGGCUACACACGUGCUACAAUGGCAUAUACAAAGAGAAGCGACCUCGCGAGAGCAAGCGGACCUCAUAAAGUAUGUCGUAGUCCGGAUUGGAGUCUGCAACUCGACUCCAUGAAGUCGGAAUCGCUAGUAAUCGUAGAUCAGAAUGCUACGGUGAAUACGUUCCCGGGCCUUGUACACACCGCCCGUCACACCAUGGGAGUGGGUUGCAAAAGAAGUAGGUAGCUUAACCUUCGGGAGGGCGCUUACCACUUUGUGAUUCAUGACUGGGGUG
rnacentral:rRNA from 1 species